CUGAAUUGAGAAGAGAGAAGAGAAGAGAGAAAACCUAACUCUCUUUGAUCUUCAAACCACCAUAACUUGAGCUACGGAGCUCCGAUUGACGAGCCGUUUGCGGCCACGCGUCGCUCUUCUCAUUCUCUACAUUUCUAUCUAAGUUUUGUGGGAUACUCCAACAUGGAUUCCAAGUGGGUUCUAUCCCUACUUCAUAUGGGCUGAGUGUAUUUGAUGAUCUUGGUGCACAAUUGGGAGAUUGGUGUUGCUUGAGAAGCUUUGGUGAGGCUUGGGACUAAGGUUGGUGGAGACUUCUAAAGAAGAGGCUCAAUUGAUUUGGCUACAAGAGGUAAAUUCUGACUGAAAUUGAGGGAUUUGAGCAAAACUCUGAAGAAGGCUGACAAAAGGACUGCUGAUGCUGUUGGAAUCUGACCUCCCUGCACUCGAAAUGGAUUUUCUGGAGCUACAGAACUCCAAUUGCCGCGCCCUCAACGGCGUUGGAAAGUAGACAUCCAGGGCUUUCCAGCAAUAUAUAA